rnacentral:rRNA from 2 species
UGGAAGUAAAAAGUCGUAACAAGGUCUCCGUUGGUGAACCAGCGGAGGGAUCAUUACCGAGUUAUUCAACUCAUCAACCCUGUGAACAUACCUAAACGUUGCUUCGGCGGGAAUAGACGGCCCCGUGAAACGGGCCGCCCCCGCCAGAGGACCCUUAACUCUGUUUCUAUAAUGUUUCUUCUGAGUAAAACAAGCAAAUAAAUUAAAACUUUCAACAACGGAUCUCUUGGCUCUGGCAUCGAUGAAGAACGCAGCGAAAUGCGAUAAGUAAUGUGAAUUGCAGAAUUCAGUGAAUCAUCGAAUCUUUGAACGCACAUUGCGCCCGCCAGUAUUCUGGCGGGCAUGCCUGUUCGAGCGUCAUUACAACCCUCAGGCCCCCGGGCCUGGCGUUGGGGAUCGGCGGAGCCUCUCUGUGGGCACACGCCGUCCCCCAAAUACAGUGGCGGUCCCGCCGCAGCUUCCAUCGCGUAGUAGCUAACACCUCGCGACUGGAGAGCGGCGCGGCCACGCCGUAAAACACCCAACUUUUCUGAAGUUGACCUCGAAUCAGGUAGGAAUACCCGCUGAACUUAAGCAUAUCAAUAAGCGGAGG